rnacentral:rRNA from 1 species
AGUUUGAUCCUGGCUCAGAACGAACGCUGGCGGCAUGCCUAACACAUGCAAGUCGAACGAGAAAGUCACUUCGGUGGCGAGUAAAGUGGCGCACGGGUGCGUAACACGUAGGUGACCUGCCUUUUAGUGGGGGAUAACGUGGAGAAAUUCACGCUAAUACCGCAUAAGUACUGCAAAUUUGAAAGUAGCAGUAGAAAGAGUGCCUCUUUGCAAUGCACUUGCUGAAAGAUGGGCCUGCGGAACAUUAGCUUGAUGGUGGGGUAAUGGCCUACCAUGGCUACGAUGUUUAGCUGGUCUGAGAGGAUGAUCAGCCGCACUGGAACUGAGACACGGUCCAGACUCCUACGGGAGGCAGCAGUGGGGAAUAUUGCACAAUGGGCGCAAGCCUGAUGCAGCCAUGCCGCGUGUGUGAAGAAGGCCUUCGGGUUGUAAAGCACUUUCAGCGAGGAGGAAAGUUUAGUGGUUAAUACCCAUUAGAUGUGACGUUACUCGCAGAAGAAGGACCGGCUAACUCCGUGCCAGCAGCCGCGGUAAUACGGAGGGGGCUAGCGUUGUUCGGAAUUACUGGGCGUAAAGCGUGCGUAGGCGGAUUAGAAAGUAUGGGGUGAAAUCCCAGGGCUCAACCCUGGAACUGCCUCAUAAACUCCUAGUCUUGAGUUCUGGAGAGGUAAGUGGAAUUCCUAGUGUAGAGGUGAAAUUCGUAGAUAUUAGGAGGAACACCAGAGGCGAAGGCGGCUUACUGGACAGAUACUGACGCUGAGGCACGAAAGUGUGGGGAGCAAACAGGAUUAGAUACCCUGGUAGUCCACACCGUAAACGAUGAGAGCUAGUUGUCUGCAAGCAUGCUUGUAGGUGACGCAGCUAACGCAUUAAGCUCUCCGCCUGGGGAGUACGGUCGCAAGAUUAAAACUCAAAGAAAUUGACGGGGGCCCGCACAAGCGGUGGAGCAUGUGGUUUAAUUCGAAGCAACGCGCAGAACCUUACCUACCCUUGACAUGCCGGUCGAGUUUUCCAGAGAUGGAUUACGUCAACUCGGUUGGACCGUGCACAGGUGCUGCAUGGCUGUCGUCAGCUCGUG